GCCGGUGUAGUUUAAGCCAUGCAUGUUGUAAGUUUAAGACCAAGUAGGAUGAAACUGCGGACGGCUCAUUAUAACAGUAAUAGAAUCUUUGGUUAGUAGGACAAGGAUAACUUUGUGAAUGAUUAAUCUAAUACUUGAGACGAUCCGGGAAGUAUUUAUACUUUUCGGCCCCUGGCCGCAAGGUUGACGAGAAAUGACAUUCUCUUGUGAAAAAGGAUGCCCCGACAAUUGAGGAAAGCGACGCUUUUAACAAGUAACCAAUGGGAAUUUCUGAUCUAUCAAUUUGUUGGUAGUAUCGAGGACUACCAAGAUUAUAACGGAUAACGAGGAAUUGGGGUUCGACAUCGGAGAGGGAGCUUUACAGAUGGCUACCACUUCUAAGGAAGGCAGCAGGCGCGUAAAUUACCCACUUUCGACUUGAAGAGGUAGUGACGACUAUUAACUCUUGGUUCUCCUCGGUUUUUUUUUGAAGGAAUGAU
rnacentral:rRNA from 1 species